AGUAGCUGAGGUUAGUAAUUCAUUGUCUACUGCAGCUGCAGCUUUGUAGACCGGUGCAGCGGUGAAGAAACCUUUAAAAAUGGAAGGCAAAAGUGGUAAAAAUACUACGGUGCUAUGAAACCAAUGGGAAAGAAAAUACAUAUUUACGAGCGAUCUGACGUCGGGAAUUCACAAAAUGGGAUUUUUUCAAGGCCAUCAAUCAAAGUCAGAUUAAUGCAAUGUUACCAAUCCAAUAAAAAUCGCACGGUCAGGCACUAGCUGGAGCACGCGACAUCUUGACAUCGCACUCGCGGAAAUCAUAGCUCAUAGGCCAGAAAUAUUAUAAUUAUUGUUUUUAGACAAAGAUAUUAGAUUAUAUUUCUUUGAAAUAUUAACUUAAAACGUCAACUAAGGCUAAAAUAGUUUCGUAUAACUAGCAACACUGAUAAUCUAUAUGUCAAAAAGCAAAAAAACAAAGAUUUCCUGAACAUUGCUUGAUUGUUGCACCAUAGUUGGAAAUUUGAACAAAAAUGUGGCGAAAUGUUUACUGUACUUUACGCAUCGUACCAGCAACGUGCUGUAAUACAGCCGUAAAUAUAAACACUCGUGCCCUUGAUUUCAUCUUCAGUUGAAAUAAAUUCGUGGGCAUGUAAACAAGCCAGAAGGAUUAUUAGCAGUGCCUGCCGGUUUAUAAAGAGACUACUACCUACUACCCAGUUCGCAGUUGUUAAUCUUGUAUAGUAUCGGCGCACAUUGACGCAUCACCAUCAUCCUACCAGCUUUCAUUCGAGAGCCAGCAUAAGGGAAAAGGGUCACCUGCAUAACACACCGACUUAUUGAAGAAGUUAACAAUAUUAAUUUGUAAAAAUGGAUAAAGUGAAAACAUACUUAUUCUUAGACCUACAGACUACUGGUUAUCCAGGGACGGCACAUGGUGAAAUACGAAUUACAGAAAUAUGUUUGCUAGCAGUUAAAGGAGUAGACGUUGAAAAAACCAGGUACGAACCUCGAAUUCAAUACAAAUUCAAAAUGUGCUUCAACCCCGAAAAGAAAGUGGAAGAAGAAAUUUCUCAACAAAAUGGAUUAACGCUAGCUGUUUUGAAAAGUGAAACUAAAUUCAACAAAGAUGUUUGCAAUGCCAUUACUUCUUUUGUCAAAUGUCUGAAGAAACCUGUUUGUAUGAUUGCUCAUAACGCUUUUAAGUUUCACUUCCCCUUACUGAAAUAUCAUAUGGAUAGAAUGAAAGUAGCAAUGCCAGAUGAUCUGUUAUGUACUGAUAGCAUUUAUUGCUACUAUGACAUAUUAAAAAGAGAAUUGUAUGUAAAGCCAAGAGAAAAGUCAGAGAAAACUGUGAAGAAGAAAGUGCAGAAAGUAAAAGCGAUCCGGUUGAAAUUGAGAGGGACAUGAGAGACAGAAAGUAUGAAAAUCUAGUUCAGAAUGUAUUUUAUGAAGUGGCACCGAAAGAAUUGUACAAUUUAUCUCAUGUCUACAAAAGUGUUACCUCUGGCGAUCUUAAACAGUAUGAUGCAGAAACGAACUGUCGAAUGAUGUUGAAAAUAGCCAUUGAUUAUAAACACGAUUUUAUGGAGUGGGUAAAGAGGCAGCACUGCCCCUUCUCUGAGGUGCCGAUUAUACCUAUGUGAACAAACUGAAGAUGGACCAAUUUAUCUAUCUUCUGCUGAUGUGGGGUCAUUUAAGGCACGAUGUUGUCUACGCAUGUAUUGCAGCUACUUAUUUCAGGAACUAGUAGUUUCUGCCUAUCAUCUUAAAAUUUUAAAAUUUUAAUUAUGUACAUGCAGAUCUCUUGAACAGUGAUAUAUUUAUUUUUAUUCUAGAAUGUACAUAUAAUUAAUUAUGUUGAUCUAAAUUAUCUCAAGUUUAAGAGUGAAUUUUACCUUUAUAAGGUAUCACUACUGUUGUAAUUUUGAUAAUAUUUUAAUUGUCCCUCAUUAAUCACCCAGAAAUGUCUUAAUUAAGUUGUUAUUUAUUGUAAAUAUUAAUUAGUUAGUGAUACUUUAAUAGAUGGCCCUAGUAUUUAUUGUUAUUAACUUAUUA
rnacentral:lncRNA from 1 species